rnacentral:rRNA from 1 species
GACGAACCGUGCGAACGUUGUUCGGAUUCACUGGGCUUAAAGGGCGCGUAGGCGGGCUCACCAGUCAGGGGUGAAAGCUCCCGGCUCAACCGGGAAAGUGCCUUUGAUACUGUGAGUCUCGAGGGAGGUAGGGGCACGCGGAACUUCCGGUGGAGCGGUGAAAUGCGCAGAUAUCAGGAGGAACACCGGUGGCGAAGGCGGGUCUCUGGGCCGAUACUGACGCUGAGGAGCGAAAGCGUGGGGAGCGAACAGG